GUAGGGAGCGAGCGUUACCCGGAAUUACUGGGCGUAAAGUGCGCGUAGGCGGCUUGGUAAGUCUUUUGUGAAAGCUCCCGGCUUAACUGGGAGAGUGCAGAGGAAACUAUCUGGCUAGAGGGCAGCAGAGGAAAGCGGAAUUCUCGGUGUAGCGGUGAAAUGCGUAGAUAUCGAGAGGAACACCAGUGGCGAAGGCGGCUUUCUGGGCUGUACCUGACGCUGAGGCGCGAGAGCGUGGGGAGCAAACAGGAUUAGAUACCCUGGUAGUCCUAGCUGUAAACGAUGGAUACUAGAUGUAGGAACUGGAUUGACGGUUUCUGUAUCGUAGCUAACGCGUUAAGUAUCCCGCCUGGGGAGUACGGUCGCAAGACUAAAACUCAAAGGAAUUGACGGGACCCGCACAAGCGGCGGAGCAUGCGGCUUAAUUCGAUGAUACCCGUAGAACCUUACCUGGACUUGACAUAUAGGGAAAAACUGGAGAAAUUCAGUGUGCGUAAGCGCCCUAUACAGGUGGUGCAUGGCUGUCGUCAGUUCGUGUCGUGAGAUGUUGGGUUAAGUCCCGCAACGAGCGCAACCCUUGUUUUUAGUUGCCCUUAGGAACUCUAAAAAGACUGCCGGUUAUAAACCGGAGGAAGGCGGGGAUGACGUCAAGUCAGCAUGCCCCUUACACCCUGGGCUACACACGUGCUACAAUGGACGAGACAAUGAGUUGCGAAUCUGUGAAGACCUGCUAAUCUAUAGACUCGUUCUAAGUUCGGAUUGUAGGCUGCAACUCGCCUACAUGAAGUUGGAAUCGCUAGUAAUCGCUGGUCAGCCAUACAGCGGUGAAUCCGUUCCCGGGCCUUGCACACACCGCCCGUUCU
rnacentral:rRNA from 1 species